GUGGGGAAUAUUGGACAAUGGGCGCAAGCCUGAUCCAGCAAUGCCGCGUGGGUGAAGAAGGUCUUCGGAUUGUAAAGCACUUUAAGUUGGGAGGAAGGGUAGUAACCUAAUACGUUGCUACUUUGACGUUACCGACAGAAUAAGCACCGGCUAACUUCGUGCCAGCAGCCGCGGUAAUACGAAGGGUGCAAGCGUUACUCGGAAUUACUGGGCGUAAAGCGCGCGUAGGUGGUUCAGUAAGUUGGAAGUGAAAUCCCCGGGCUCAACCUGGGAACUGCUUUCAAAACUGCUGAGCUAGAGUACGGUAGAGGGUGGUUGAAUUUCCUGUGUAGCUGGGAAAUUCGUAGAUAUAGGAAGGAACACCAGUGGCGAAGGCGACCACCUGGACUGAUACUGACACUGAGGUGCGAAAGCGUGGGGAGCAAACAGGAUUAGAAACCCCUGUAGUCC
rnacentral:rRNA from 1 species